rnacentral:rRNA from 1 species
GGGGAAUAUUGCACAAUGGGCGAAAGCCUGAUGCAGCAACGCCGCGUGAGGGACGACGGCCUUCGGGUUGUAAACCUCUUUUAGCAGGGAAGAAGCGAAAGUGACGGUACCUGCAGAAAAAGCACCGGCUAACUACGUGCCAGCAGCCGCGGUAAUACGUAGGGUGCAAGCGUUAUCCGGAAUUAUUGGGCGUAAAGAGCUCGUAGGCGGUUUGUCGCGUCUGCUGUGAAAACUGGGGGCUCAACCUCCAGCCUGCAGUGGGUACGGGCAGACUAGAGUGCGGUAGGGGAGACUGGAAUUCCUGGUGUAGCGGUGGAAUGCGCAGAUAUCAGGAGGAACACCAAUGGCGAAGGCAGGUCUCUGGGCCGUAACUGACGCUGAGGAGCGAAAGCGUGGGUAGCGAAC